AACGAACGCUGGCGGCGUGGAUAAGACAUGCAAGUCGAACGGGAUUACUUUGUAGCAAUACAGAAGUAAUUCAGUGGCGAACGGGUGCGUAACACGUGGGCAAUCUGCCGAGAAGUGGGGGAUAGCUCGCCGAAAGGCGAAUUAAUACCGCAUAUGAUCAGGGACGACAUCUUCCCAACAUCAAAGCCGGGGCAACCUGGCGCUUUUUGAGGAGCCCGCGGCCUAUCAGCUAGUUGGUGAGGUAACGGCCCACCAAGGCUAUGACGGGUAGCUGGUCUGAGAGGACGACCAGUCACACUGGAACUGAGACACGGUCCAGACACCGUACGGGUGGCAGCAGUCG
rnacentral:rRNA from 1 species